GGCUCAGUAGUCCAAUGGUAAAGCGAUCGUCACAGAGCUAGAGGGUCCUGGGUUCGAUCCUCAACAGGGUCG
rnacentral:tRNA from 1 species